rnacentral:rRNA from 1 species
UACGUAGGGGGCUAGCGUUGUCCGGAAUCAUUGGGCGUAAAGCGCGCGUAGGCGGCCCGGUAAGUCCGCUGUAAAAGUCAAAGGCUCAACCUUUGAAUGUCAGUGGAUACUGCCGGGCUAGAGUCCGGAAGAGGCGAGUGGAACUCCUGGUGUAGCGGUGGAAUGCGCAGAUAUCAGGAAGAACACCGACGGCGAAGGCAGCUCGCUGGGACGGUACUGACGCUGAGGCACGAAAGCGUGGGGAGCAAACAGG